UACAGAGGGUGCAAGCGUUAUUCGGAAUUACUGGGCGUAAAGAGCGCGUAGGCGGUUUGGUAAGUCUGAUGUGAAAGCCCUGGACUCAAUCCAGGAAGUGCAUCGGAUACUGCUAAACUUGAGUACAGGAGGGGAGAGCGGAAUUCCAGGUGUAGAGGUGAAAUUCGUAGAUAUCUGGAGGAACAACAGUGGCGAAGGCGGCUCUCUGGACUGUUACUGACGCUGAGGCGCGAAAGCGUGGGGAGCAAACAGG
rnacentral:rRNA from 1 species